AAACAUUUAUUAUAAUUUUAUUAUUUAAUUUUGUCUCUAUUAAGAUUCUUGUUCUUUU
rnacentral:tRNA from 1 species